UCUGGUAAUUAUGGCAAAGAGGUCACACCCGUUCCCAUACCGAACACGGAAGUUAAGCUCUUUAGCGCCGAUGGUAGUUGGGGGUUUCCCCCUGUGAGAGUAGGACAUUGCCAGGU
rnacentral:rRNA from 1 species